GGCAUGUUCAACCGAAUAUAGAGAAAAUAAAUAAGGUUUGAAGCUUGGUGAAUUUCGGCACCUUUAAAUCUUGAUUUAGAUCAAGAAAAGAGGAGAUCAGAUUUGGAUCGGGGAAAAAUCGAAAAUUUUUUAAUCGUCAUCCGGUUCGUUCAUGUCCGUACGAGGUAAGUUCAUAAGUAAAUAAAUACUGUUAAAUUCAAAAGUAUGUGUGUUAUAUGUGCUGAAUUGAAUUAUAAUAAGUAUAUGAGUAAAUAAAUACUCGUUAAGAGCUUGAAUCGAUCGAAUUAUAACGUCCAAAAGCGCUGUACGAACCAUAGGAAUAGUAUAGGAUACAUAUGUCAUGACAUAAGAUUCCGAUAUGAUUUAUCUUGUAAGACCACGUCUGGGACGUUGGUGUCGAUUUGAGAUUUUUGUCUAAGACCAUAUCUUGGACAUCGACAUCGUAUACGAUUUCGUAUAAGACCCUGUCUAGGGCAGUGGCAUCGAUAUUUGAUUACAUGUAAGACCACAUCUGGGAUGUUGGCAUUGUAAGAUCUUCCGAGCUAUCUGAGUAUCCUUAUUGAUUCCGAAUGGUUCAACGGGCAAUAUCGAGAAAUGAAUGACUAUGUGAAAGUAUAUCUGAUUCAGGUACGUACGAAGUGUAUAUGAUAUUCAAGAAUGAAAGGUGAGUAUGUUUCAAAUAACUAUGUGAAAGUAUAUCCGAUUCAGGUACGUACGAAGUGUAUACGAUAUUCAAGAAUGAAAGGUGAGUAUGUUUCAAAUGACGAUAUGUGAAAUACAUGAAAAUGAAUGAAAUGAAUGUAUAUAAAUGAACUUUGUGAUACAUAUGCUCGUUAUAUGAAAUUGUAAUGAAAUAAGCUUAAUUAUAUUCAAGAGUUCGAAUACCAUGAAAUUGUGGUCCUAUGUUUCGAACAUGGGAUUUAUGAAACAUGAAACAUGGUUUUGAGGUAUGCUAGUUUGGUUUGAAAAAUGAUUAGAUAAAUGUUAUUGAUAAGGUUAAAUUAUUACAUAUGUUAUGUAUAUGUGAAAGAGUUAAAGAAACAUGUUUUGAUUUGUUGGUUAUGCGUUUGUAUGACCGAAUGUGAUAUAUUUGAAUGAGGAGUAUAUAUGGUUCGAACAGUGGAAUUAUGAAGCAUGUGUAAUAUGACUUUGAUGUAUGGUAGUUAAUUUGAAUUUUGAAUUGAUAAAUAAGAUUGAAAUGAUUGAAUUUUAAAGCAUGGUUUAUAUGUUCAUUGAUAAAUAAGGUAAGUGAAGUUGUGUAAUGUGAUAAUAUGGAUUAUAUGAGAAAAGUGAUUUUAUAUGUGUAUGAGAUUAACUAAAUUCAGUCUAUUCGAAUUGAAUUAUAUAUGUUACUGUGAUGAAUUAUUUGCUUAUGGCUUACUAAGCUUUCAAAGCUUACUUUGUGUAUUUUCCCUAUGUUUAUAGAGUUUCGGAUGCUUGCUCGGAUUGGAAGUCGUAGGAGACCACAUCACACUAUCCAGUUUUUGCUUCAGUAAAUAAAUGCUUUGAGUUUUGGUUAUGUGGCAUGUAUAGGCUAGUUUUGAUAUACUGGUUUUGGAAGUUGUGUAUAUAUAUAGACAUGCGAAAAUGGCUUAAUCAUGAUGUUAAUGCUUGUGUGUAUUCGGUCAUAUCUCAAGAUUAUUAUGGAAGUAUGUUUCAUGGUGUA